rnacentral:rRNA from 1 species
CGACCGGCGCACGGGUGCGUAACGCGUAUGCAACCUACCUUUAACAGAGGGAUAACACUGAGAAAUUGGUACUAAUACCCCAUAAUAUCAUAGAAGGCAUCUUUUAUGGUUGAAAAUUCCGAUGGUUAGAGAUGGGCAUGCGUUGUAUUAGCUAGUUGGUGGGGUAACGGCUCACCAAGGCGACGAUACAUAGGGGGACUGAGAGGUUAACCCCCCACACUGGUACUGAGACACGGACCAG